AGCGCGGAAGACUGCGUUAAAACGAUGGACUGAACAGUCAACCAGUCCAGCAGAACGAGCCUUAGGUGCAAUAAGUAGAGUAUUUUCUUCUAGGAAGAAAAGGAUAACCGGAUUCGAAAUAAAUGAUAAAACUACGAUAAGGUAAAUUUAUGUAGUAAAACAACCGGUAUUUGUGUUAUGGCGAAGAACCCGGCAAGAGUGUAACUAUGGACUUGGAGCAAGACAAAAGAGACUUAACAAAUGUAAGUGGUUUCUCAGUUUUACGUAAACAAAAGCUGAUGGCCAAAAUCGACAAAUUUUUGCGGCCUCAGGGUUAAAAAAAGAAAGAUGUGAUUAUGGUUGCCUGAAGCGGAUAAAAAGAUUAAUCCAACUUGCAGAAAAAGGAUGACCAAAUUUAAUGAAACUAGAUUUUGGUGUGACCAAAAAAAAAAAAAAAAAAAGAACUUCCCAGAUAUCUAAAUAUAUAAUUAUAUCUAUAUAAGGGUAUAUGAGCAACACUAUAAACGGUGUAAGUGUUCAAUUUUGUAAGAAAUAAUCGACGAUAGAUAGGGGAUAAGAACCAACACGGUAAAUGACAAUCAAGGAUCAAACGAGAGCAAUUAGGAUAUUAAAUAGUGCUAAACCAAAACGAACAAAAAGGAGAAUUGAUUGCAGAGAAAGCGUUUAGAAGAGCGUUAAAACGGAUGUUCAAGGAAGAGAAACUAUCAACAGUGGUGGGCGAGCGGGUUGCAAUGGUUUUACCAACUUUUACUAUUUAGUGAUGGUGAGGGAGAUUGAAUUGCCUGUUGUAGUUGCUGAAUGCUUUUGUUUGAUGUUGAGAGAAUAUGUUUGGAAAAGAGAUAAUCAUAUAUUCAGUUCAGCAAUACCA